rnacentral:rRNA from 1 species
UACAGAGGUCUCAAGCGUUGUUCGGAUUCAUUGGGCGUAAAGGGUGCGUAGGUGGCGUCGUAAGUCAGGUGUGAAAUUUCGGAGCUUAACUCCGAAACUGCAUUUGAUACUGGCGUGCUUGAGGACUGGAGAGGAGACUGGAAUUCAUGGUGUAGCAGUGAAAUGCGUAGAGAUCAUGAGGAAGACCAGUGGCGAAGGCGGGUCUCUGGACAGUUCCUGACACUGAGGCACGAAGGCCAGGGGAGCAAACGGGG